rnacentral:rRNA from 1 species
GAUGAACGCUAGCGGCAGGCCUAAUACAUGCAAGUCGAACGGUAAGGCCCUUUCGGGGUACACGAGUGGCGGACGGGUGCGUAACGCGUAUGCAACAUACCUUCAAGCGGGGGAUAUGCCAGGGAAACUUGGUGCAACACCCCAUAGCAUUUCGGGACCGCAUGGUCUUGGGAUUAAAUAUUUAUAGCUUGGAGAUUGGCAUGCGUGACAUUAGCUAGUUGGCGGGGUAACGGCCCACCAAGGCGACGAUGUCUAGCUGGUCUGAGAGGAUGAUCAGCCACACUGGGACUGAGACACGGCCCAGACUCCUACGGGAGGCAGCAGUAGGGAAUAUUGGACAAUGGGGGGAACCCGUGAUCCAGCCAUGCCGCGUGAGGGAAGAAGGUCCUCUGGAUUGUAAACCUCUUUUGGCGGGGGACAAACCUGCACUAUACGUGCAGCUGAGGGUACCCGCAGAAUAAGCACCGGCUAACUCCGUGCCAGCAGCCGCGGUAAU